rnacentral:rRNA from 2 species
GUUUGACCUCAAAUCAGGUAGG